AUGAUUCCGAGAAUCAAUUGCAAAGGGAAUAUAUGAACUAUAACUUUUUAGUAUAGUUUCCUAUAUGUUCAUACGUCUCAGUAUCUAACAAGGAAUCUCUUAGCUAACAGAUAGGUCUCAGCGUAUUAAGAGGCACAUUUUAAUCCACAAUAUAACUACGUAUCUACCUUCCUAGAGUACAGUCGUACAGAGAGAGUAAUGAGUCUCAAACUAAGUAGUACAUAACCUAAGCAGGGAUUUGUAA